GGCGCGUUCGUCUAGUGGUUUAGGACGCUGGCCUCUCACGCCGGUAACACGGGUUCGAAUCCCGUACGCGCUACAA
rnacentral:tRNA from 1 species